AUGAGAGUUGGAGAUACCCGAAGCCUGUGAGCUAACAAACGAGGCAGCAGUCGAAGGUAGAAUCAAUGAUUGGGGUGAAGUCGUAACAAGGUACC
rnacentral:rRNA from 1 species